rnacentral:rRNA from 1 species
UGUUCCCGGGCCUUGUACACACCGCCCGUCACACCAUGGGAGUGGGUUGCAAAAGAAGUAGGUAGCUUAACCUUCGGGAGGGCGCUUACCACUUUGUGAUUCAUGACUGGGGUGAAGUCGUAACAAGGUAACCGUAGGGGAACCUGCGGUUGGAUCACCUCCUUA